rnacentral:rRNA from 1 species
GAUCCUGGCUCAGAUUGAACGCUGGCGGCAGGCCUAACACAUGCAAGUCGAACGGUAACAGGAAACAGCUUGCUGUUUCGCUGACGAGUGGCGGACGGGUGAGUAAUGUCUGGGAAACUGCCUGAUGGAGGGGGAUAACUACUGGAAACGGUAGCUAAUACCGCAUAACGUCGCAAGACCAAAGAGGGGGGACCCUUCGGGCCUCUUGCCAUCGGAUGUGCCCAGAUGGGAUUAGCUAGUAGGUGGGUAAAGG